CCCCGCAGGCCUGCGGGGCGCUUCCAGGCCCGCCCGCAGGCACAGGCCACGUUUGGAGCUGAGCCCGGAGCAACUCGGUGGAAGCUUCUCCUUCUGGGGCCAGGUCACGGCCAGCAGCAGCCGCACCGCUGCCGGUGGGCAAAUCUGCCUGUGCCGACAGCGUCAUGGUAUUUCUGCAUCACGAUCAGCUUGUGAUUGGUUUUAGUCCCCAAGGCCUGUUCUGCACUACUGCUGAUUCCCUACCACAGAUCCACACAGGUCGUAUAAAAACUGUGGAUAACCUGAGCUGGAGCUGUCAUACCUGAUUCACUUGAUGUAUUCAUUUUAUAUGGCAAUUAUGCCAAUUUAAUUUUUGAAGAGAAGGUAUGUGUACCUAGCACGGAAGCAUGGCCUGGUUUCCUUCUGAUGAAGUUACUGGGAAAAGAACAACAGGGGAGAUUUCCGUGUGUAUUGUGAACAGAGGCUCCAAUCAGCAUGUGGUGAUAUAUAGAGCUGUAACACAGAGGAGGUCUACGCACCCACAACAAGAGUAGCGUCCAUUCAGAUGUGCCAGAAAUGCAAGGAUCAUCCUACACUCUUUCUCUCACUUUCACUGACAUUUUCUCUUCUUUUCAUUCUUGUCAUUUUCCUUUUCUCUUAAUCUGAAAGAUUUCAAAGGAAAAAUUUGUGUUCUGCCAUUUGCACGUGACCUUACGUGAACUUUAACAGACUUCAAGGAGGUGGUGAGGGGAAUAUAAACACAUAUGCAUUCUAAUCUGCUCAGCUCUUCAAUUAAAAAUUUAUAGGUGAAAUCUGCCUG